rnacentral:piRNA from 1 species
UNCCCUGAAGAAAUCACAGCCUGCGUCAAG